UUAAGCGACUAAGCGUACACGGUGGAUGCCCUGGCAGUCAGAGGCGAUGAAGGACGUGCUAAUCUGCGAUAAGCGUCGGUAAGGUGAUAUGAACCGUUAUAACCGGCGAUUUCCGAAUGGGGAAACCCAGUGUGAUUCGUCACACUAUCAUUAACUGAAUCCAUAGGUUAAUGAGGCGAACCGGGGGAACUGAAACAUCUAAGUACCCCGAGGAAAAGAAAUCAACCGAGAUUCCCCCAGUAGCGGCGAGCGGACGGGGAGCAGCCCAGAGCCUGAAUCAGUGUGUGUGUUAGUGGAAGCGUCUGGAAAGGCGUGCGAUACAGGGUGACAGCCCCGUACACAAAAAUGCACAUAUUGUGAGCUUGAUGAGUAGGGCGGGACACGUGGUAUCCUGUCUGAAUAUGGGGGGACCAUCCUCCAAGGCUAAAUACUCCUGACUGACCGAUAGUGAACCAGUACCGUGAGGGAAAGGCGAAAAGAACCCCGGCGAGGGGAGUGAAAAAGAACCUGAAACCGUGUACGUACAAGCAGUGGGAGUACGCUUAGGCGUGUGACUGCGUACCUUUUGUAUAAUGGGUCAGCGACUUAUAUUCUGUAGCAAGGUUAACCGAAUAGGGGAGCCGAAGGGAAACCGAGUCUUAACUGGGCGUUAAGUUGCAGGGUAUAGACCCGAAACCCGGUGAUCUAGCCAUGGGCAGGUUGAAGGUUGGGUAACACUAACUGGAGGACCGAACCGACUAAUGUUGAAAAAUUAGCGGAUGACUUGUGGCUGGGGGUGAAAGGCCAAUCAAACCGGGAGAUAGCUGGUUCUCCCCGAAAGCUAUUUAGGUAGCGCCUCGUGAAUUCAUCUCCGGGGGUAGAGCACUGUUUCGGCAAGGGGGUCAUCCCGACUUACCAACCCGAUGCAAACUGCGAAUACCGGAGAAUGUUAUCACGGGAGACACACGGCGGGUGCUAACGUCCGUCGUGAAGAGGGAAACAACCCAGACCGCCAGCUAAGGUCCCAAGGUCAUGGUUAGGUGGGAAACGAUGUGGGAAGGCCCAGACAGCCAGGAUGUUGGCUUAGAAGCAGCCAUCAUUUAAAGAAAGCGUAAUAGCUCACUGGUCGAGUCGGCCUGCGCGGAAGAUGUAACGGGGCUAAACCAUGCACCGAAGCUGCGGCAGCGACGCUUAUGCGUUGUUGGGUAGGGGAGCGUUCUGUAAGCCUGCGAAGGUGUGCUGUGAGGCAUGCUGGAGGUAUCAGAAGUGCGAAUGCUGACAUAAGUAACGAUAAAGCGGGUGAAAAGCCCGCUCGCCGGAAGACCAAGGGUUCCUGUCCAACGUUAAUCGGGGCAGGGUGAGUCGACCCCUAAGGCGAGGCCGAAAGGCGUAGUCGAUGGGAAACAGGUUAAUAUUCCUGUACUUGGUGUUACUGCGAAGGGGGACGGAGAAGGCUAUGUUGGCCGGGCGACGGUUGUCCCGGUUUAAGCGUGUAGGCUGGUUUUCCAGGCAAAUCCGGAAAAUCAAGGCUGAGGCGUGAUGACGAGGCACUACGGUGCUGAAGCAACAAAUGCCCUGCUUCCAGGAAAAGCCUCUAAGCAUCAGGUAACAUCAAAUCGUACCCCAAACCGACACAGGUGGUCAGGUAGAGAAUACCAAGGCGCUUGAGAGAACUCGGGUGAAGGAACUAGGCAAAAUGGUGCCGUAACUUCGGGAGAAGGCACGCUGAUAUGUAGGUGAAGUCCCUUGCGGAUGGAGCUGAAAUCAGUCGAAGAUACCAGCUGGCUGCAACUGUUUAUUAAAAACACAGCACUGUGCAAACACGAAAGUGGACGUAUACGGUGUGACGCCUGCCCGGUGCCGGAAGGUUAAUUGAUGGGGUCAGCGCAAGCGAAGCUCUUGAUCGAAGCCCCGGUAAACGGCGGCCGUAACUAUAACGGUCCUAAGGUAGCGAAAUUCCUUGUCGGGUAAGUUCCGACCUGCACGAAUGGCGUAAUGAUGGCCAGGCUGUCUCCACCCGAGACUCAGUGAAAUUGAACUCGCUGUGAAGAUGCAGUGUACCCGCGGCAAGACGGAAAGACCCCGUGAACCUUUACUAUAGCUUGACACUGAACAUUGAGCCUUGAUGUGUAGGAUAGGUGGGAGGCUUUGAAGUGUGGACGCCAGUCUGCAUGGAGCCGGCCUUGAAAUACCACCCUUUAAUGUUUGAUGUUCUAACGUGGACCCGUGAUCCGGGUUGCGGACAGUGUCUGGUGGGUAGUUUGACUGGGGCGGUCUCCUCCUAAAGAGUAACGGAGGAGCACGAAGGUUGGCUAAUCCUGGUCGGACAUCAGGAGGUUAGUGCAAUGGCAUAAGCCAGCUUGACUGCGAGCGUGACGGCGCGAGCAGGUGCGAAAGCAGGUCAUAGUGAUCCGGUGGUUCUGAAUGGAAGGGCCAUCGCUCAACGGAUAAAAGGUACUCCGGGGAUAACAGGCUGAUACCGCCCAAGAGUUCAUAUCGACGGCGGUGUUUGGCACCUCGAUGUCGGCUCAUCACAUCCUGGGGCUGAAGUAGGUCCCAAGGGUAUGGCUGUUCGCCAUUUAAAGUGGUACGCGAGCUGGGUUUAGAACGUCGUGAGACAGUUCGGUCCCUAUCUGCCGUGGGCGCUGGAGAACUGAGGGGGGCUGCUCCUAGUACGAGAGGACCGGAGUGGACGCAUCACUGGUGUUCGGGUUGUCAUGCCAAUGGCACUGCCCGGUAGCUAAAUGCGGAAGAGAUAAGUGCUGAAAGCAUCUAAGCACGAAACUUGCCCCGAGAUGAGUUCUCCCUGACCCUUUAAGGGUCCUGAAGGAACGUUGAAGACGACGACGUUGAUAGGCCGGGUGUGUAAGCGCAGCGAUGCGUUGAGCUAACCGGUACUAAUGAACCGUGAGGCUUAACCUU
rnacentral:rRNA from 1 species